CAGGCACAGUGCCAUGCUCCUCCUGGGUUCCCAGGAACUGAAUCGGGGCCGGAUCCCAGGAGAAGACCUGGAUGCCAGAAGGGAACAAAGCCAGCUUCACUUCUGAGGGCAGAGGCUCCCAAGAAUGGGGCUGUCUCUCAGAUGACAUCUGGUCUUGGGAACAGCCUGGACUGCAAAACUGGCCUUUCUUCCUGAGAAGGGGAGGAGAAGCUGAGACCAAUCUCUGCAAACAGGCUCUGCGGCCCACACUGAAGCUUCUCAAACAGCCAUUCCCUGGCUCCCCACUUCAUAAAGAAAUCAUCAUCCUGCCCACCUGGGCGGUCCUAGCUGUUUAUACCUGCCCAUUCGUCCAGCUACCUCUCACUCAUUGUGGUCCUUCCUACCUGACAUAUGUACCGACAAGCACAAGAAAAGCAAGGUGA